rnacentral:rRNA from 1 species
UACGUAGGGACCAAGCGUUGUUCGGAUUUACUGGGCGUAAAGGGCGCGUAGGCGGCGCGGUAAGUCACUUGUGAAAUCUCUGAGCUUAACUCAGAACGGCCAAGUGAUACUGCAGUGCUAGAGUGUGGAAGGGGCAAUCGGAAUUCUUGGUGUAGCGGUGAAAUGCGUAGAUAUGUGGAGGAAUACCGGUGGCGAAGGCGGCCUCCUGGUUCAAUACUGACGCUGAGGUGCGAAAGCGUGGGGAGCAAACAGG